CGUAGGGGGCAAGCGUUGUCCGGAUUUAUUGGGCGUAAAGAGCGUGUGGGCGGCCAGAUAGGUCAGCUGUGAAAACUCGAGGCUCAACCUCGAGAUGUCGGCUGAAACCAUCUGGCUAGAGUCCGGAAGAGGAGAAUGGAAUUCCCGGUGUAGCGGUGAAAUGCGCAGAUAUCGGGAAGAACACCCGUGGCGAAGGCGGUUCUCUGGGACGGUACUGACGCUGAGACGCGAAAGCGUGGGGAGCGAACAGGAUUAGAUACCCUGGUAGUCCACGCCGUAAACGAUGGGAACUAGGUGUGGGCGGUGUCGACUCCGUCCGUGCCGAAGCUAACGCAUUAAGUUCCCCGCUGGGGAGUACGGCCGCAAGGCUA
rnacentral:rRNA from 1 species